rnacentral:rRNA from 1 species
UCAUACCUACGGGAGGCAGCAGUGAGGAAUAUUGGUCAAUGGCCGGAAGGCUGAACCAGCCAAGUCGCGUGAGGGAAUAAGGCCCUAUGGGUCGUAAACCUCUUUUGUCAGGGAGCAAAGGCGUCCACGUGUGGACGAGAGGAGAGUACCUGAGGAAAAAGCAUCGGCUAACUCCGUGCCAGCAGCCGCGGUAAUACGGAGGAUGCGAGCGUUAUCCGGAUUUAUUGGGUUUAAAGGGUGCGUAGGCGGGGUGUCAGGUCAGCGGUAAAAUUUCGGGGCUCAACCCCGUCGUGCCGUGGAAACUG